UUGUAGUUCUUAAAAUAUAUUUUGAAUAAUAACCCUUUAUCAGAUAGAUGACUUAGAAAUAUUUUCUCCCAUUGUGUGGGCUGCCUUUUCAGUCUGUUGAUUGCGUCCUUUGAUGCCCAGGAGUUUUUAGUUCUCAUGUAGUCCAGCGUAUCUAUUUUUUACCUUCGUUACCUGUGCUUUUGGUGCCAUGUCCGAGAAGGCAUUGCCAAGUCCAGUGUCAUGAAGUAUUUAUUGCUACUAUUAAAAGUGCUGUGAUAGUCUUAAUCCAUGGUUUUGAACUUACUGGUUAGUCCAUUUUACCAUUUGGUUUACCAUCUGCCCUUUACCUCUUUGCCCGCUUACUGUAUGAAAUUCCUCACUGAGUCCUAUAAUGGUCGUAAAUUCUUUGUUCCGUUCAGAAGGUAAGCGCGUUUGCCACUUACGAGUGUCAGACGUACUCCUUUUUUUCCCCUUUUGUUGUUGGUACAAAAAGUAUCUAUCACACAAGGACUUUUAAACAUCCAUCUACCAAGUCUAAUAAUAAUUAAUAAGUCUGUUCAUUUUGCUUCUGAUUACGUUUUCUUUAGUAGCUAAAUGUCUGUGUACUCUUACAGUUUCCUGAGUACUCUUCACCGUUUAAGGAGUUAUGAAUCCAAUUUAGGGGUGAAUCUAAAUUGAUGAGUUAUACUCAUAAAGUGGAAAUGUCAAACUUUUACUGAACGAAUUCUACUUUGCUCUGCUCCAGGUCAGUAUUAGUGUCUUUCAAUUAAUUAUCUGCCUGAAUCUGUUUCUGGAAUGUUUAGCCACUAGUUUCUGUUGUUUCUAGUCAAAUACAGCAAAUUGUAAAGACCAUCGCUGUUACUAUGUUUGAAAACCUAGUAUGUGGAGGCUAUGCUGCUCCUUUUAAGGCAAGAGUAUUCUCUCCUUGUUGGGACUUGAGUACACAGAACUGGGUUAAUCUUUGGUUUGUGACAUGACAUGGCUCUCUUUUAUUUGCUUCCUUGGUGUUUUUAAUAAUGUGGUAAGCAUUUCUGAGACUUGUGUUCAGUGUAAAACCUAGGACGUUAGUAGCUUUUUCUACCUGGGUGGUCAUCUUCUCCCCCUGCCCCCAUCUCUAGGCCAACGUAAUCGCCAUCCCGAAUACUGGAUUUAUCUUUACUUGCUUUCUUUUCAUAUAACUUAAAAAAAAAAAUCCACCUAAGUGUGUUUGUUAAGGAAGCUCCAGGCAUUCACAGCCCCUCCAGGACAGCACAGCACAGCAGCUGUGCCAUCUGGGAUUCUCCAUCUUGUCAGGUGGGUUGAGAGUUUCUGCUGCCAAAGUAGAGUAAUGUGCUGUGGAAUCGAGUUAAAACUGAUCGGUCUCUACAACUGCUUGUCGGUACCAGAAGUGAGCAUCAGAUAGUGUCUGACUUAUUUAGACCUAGCAAGACUCUGAGUCUACUUCUGAGUUCUUUCUCCUAAGCAGGCUGAAAAACAAACUAUUCUAGGACAGCAGUUGUGACAUCCGCCGAAAGUGGCUUUUAAUUAUAUCUGAUGUGUUUGGUCUGUUGAAAUCUUCCUACCUGGCAUCUGUCUGUCAGCAUCUCUAAUCCCGAGUGGAAAAGGCGUGCAUCUGGUGGGGCACAGUCUGCUCCCUCUGCUGCCUGUGGUUCCCCCUUUAAGUACGCGCUUCCCCUCAGAGGCCCCCCGAGGGCCAGGAGCACAAGUGUGAGCCCUGCUCUGUCUCUUACUCGACUAAUAGGGUCACGGGGAGCUUCACGCUGGGAACCACAAGGCCCAGAUCUAUCCCCGGCAGCCUUAUUCUUGCCCCCUUCGCUUCUGGGGUGAGUGGUAGCUGUCCCCUUGACUCCUCUGUCGACGUAACAGCUGUGGGACCAGCUGUCUGUGCGUCAGAGCGAGGCCCUGCCUCUGCCUCCUGCUGACCCCAAGGGCAGAGGCUUUGCCGGUUUUCUUCCCGUCUGUUUCAAGAUAUAAAAAAUGUUCAGAGUGAUAUGUGCACAUAUAAAAAAUUCAAACCCUGUAAAGGGGAUGUAGUGACAUCCUUCUCUAACCCCAGCCUCCCUUCCCACAGAGGCAGCCGUUGUGGCCAGUUGCUUGAAUUUCUUUCUGGAUAAUCCUGUGUACCUAUUUCACUACAGAGGCCCCGGCACACCACAUCCAGUCUCGCACUUUGGACUGUUCAGUUAACGGUACAUCUAGGAGCUCACCGCUUAUCUUUUUUGGCCUACCUUGGGCUUUUCGAAACACAUCUGUGUGGUAGUCAGUGUUUAAAUGUACCCAUUUUCCCUUGUGAGGAGCAAUUAGAUUGUUUCUAGCAAUUGUUAUGGUGUAUGAGGCUAUACUGAGUAUCUGCCUGUGUGGUUGUUUGUGUAUAUGGGCAACUGUGCCUUUGGGGGAAGGUUUCUGGGUCAUGGUCUGUGUGUCUUUCUGAAUGUGAUGGGUACUGCCAGCCCAUGCUCGCUGUAGUUCCGUUCUUCCGCUUGACAUUUUCCCGCACUUCACCAACACUGUUCUUAAACUUGGUUACUUGUCAAUGUGAGAAGUAAAAAUAGCAUUUCAUUGUAGUUUUGAGUUCUAUUUCUAUUGGGCUGUGUACUUACAGAUUUUCAAGAGCUUUUUAUAUAUUGAAGAAAUUAACCCUUUGUCACUGAUGCGGCAAAUACUUGCCUGUUUGUCGUUGAUCUGGCUUUUGUGUUUCAUGCUAGAAUGUUGCUGUUCAGAGUUUUAAAUAUACUUAUGUAUCAAUGUUUUCUUUUAGGGCUUCUGGGUUUUAUGACUCAGGUUGUGAAGUGCCCCCCCAGCCCCCGCCCCAUUCCAGACGCAGUGGUUCCCUGCAGCCCGGCCUUGGCGGUUUGGGGUUUUAUCUUUGCUGAGUAGAAGGUAAACUCCAGUGUCGCCGUGGUUCAGUUUCCACUUUGUGAUUCUGUAAAGCUGAGUGAACACUUUGUUGGCCGACGUGUGUGACUGCUUGUGCCUCAGUUAUGUUUUCAUCUCUUGAGAACUCUUCACUGGGGGACGUUUACCCUCGAAUGAUUACAAAACAUUGUUUAAGUUUGUAGUUUGCCCUUUUUUUCUUUUUUUUAAGUUGACGCGCGAUGCUGCCGCGUUGCUUUCAAGUUGUAAUUUGCCUUUUAAAUUUACUUGUUGCAUCUUGCCAGUGGUUUUAAGUUUUGUUGUCAAGUCUGUUAUUUUGACCAUGGUUUCAUACUUUGAUGUUCUGCUGUAUUUCCCACUGGCUUCCUUGUGCUUUCAUUUUUGACAUUUGACAUAACUCUUUAAUCCGUCUAGGAGUCGUGUUGGUGUUUGUACAGUGUGAGGUAAGAAUCCAAUUAAUUCAAGAUGGCUGAUUUCCCCAGCGCCGCUUCCUGGAUGAUGCCUUCUCUACUGAUCUGAAACUUGUUAGUUAUGUACUAAGUACCUUUAAUGUAAUUGAGUAUGUUUCUGAACUUUCUAGUUUGUUCGGCCGAUCUAUCUUUCCUCCGCCAGUCUAGUGUUUUCAUUAUAUUAGCUUUAUCACAUCUGAUUGUAAAACGUGGUAAUGCAAGCCCCUGGCAUUCUUUUUUAAGGUACUCUGAUUUUUACUGGAAUUGCAUUAUGUUUAUCGAUAUGUUAUGACAUUGAGACUUUCCGUGUAGGAACAGGCCCCCCCUGUUCGUUUAAGAUUGGAUGAUUUUCGUGUCCUCAGAAAUUUUAGCCCUCUCUUAGGCGAGUUAUGGACAUUUAUGAAGUUCGCUCCUAGAUAUGUUAUAUUCUGUGUUGUGGUUAGAUAUAUUUUUCCAUUAAAAUUCCUGGUUGUGGUAGUAUAUGAUAAGACUUGUUUUAUAGGUAUACAUUAUUUCAGACAUAAAUAGGGUGAUUAUUAAGGCCAAUUGGAAGACAAUAUAGCAUCCAGGCUAAAAGGGCUUUUGAGUCAGAUGACUCUGAUCUCAUGCUUGACUUGCCCCUUAUUUAUUUUCUGUGCCACGAGCUCUCUGCCUCAGUUUCUCCAUUUGUAAGAAGGGAUAAUCAUAUUAUCUACUAAGAAGUGGGAUGAGGGUUUAAUGAAAUAAAGAGGCAUUGUGCUCAGUGCUCUGCUGACACGGAGUGAGCACUGUUCUACUGGAGUUUCAGAGUAAGAGUCAUCUUUAAUGGUUCUGUCAUCCAUGUGAUUCAUUCCGUUUUUCAUGCUUCUCUCCUGUCUUGCUGGCAUUGGCUGUAAUCACUAAUGAGCUGUGAGCAUCGUGGUCUUGUUCCCACCCAAUCCGCUGGUGGGAUCUGUCAGUGGAUAGAGAGGGGUCAGGCUGGCCCUGGCAGGUGUGCACAAGCCCCAGCAGCACACAUCAGGCUGCCCAUUGGUUGUCAUCCUGACGGUCCUCAGCUGGAGUGAUCUGCUGACAGACCUCUUCAAAUUUUAAUAUUCAUGUAUUUGUUUUAUCAUGUAUUUGAAAAUUGCUGGUUUUCUAUUUAUGGUGGUAAUACAACAUUUCCUUUUAAGAGGAAUAUAUUUUUUCUCUUUUUAGUUGAAAUGUCCCCCCACAUACUGUAAGAUUCAUGCUGUCAACGUGUACAAUUCAGUGGGUUUUAGUAUGUUCACCGUGUUUUGCCAACCAUCACUGUCUUCCCAUUUCCAGGACUUUUUCGUUUUCCCAAACAGAAGCCUGAUCCCCAUAAAACAGUAACUUCCCAUCCCUCUCUCCCUCCCUCCUCCCGGUUCCCCCCACCCCGCUUUUUUUCCUGCAUUUUCAUUAUUGUAACUGAUCAAAGUCUGUUUGCAAUAGAUGUGAAUGUGAGUUCAGUACAUGUGACACUGAUUUGGCAGAGGCAACCUAGUGAUUGGCAAGAACACAGCACGAGCAGCUUCUGCAGGUUGGUGUUCCUCCUCCUGGUUCCUGAUAACCUUUACUAUACUUUCUAUUUGCCUCUUCUAGGUUCCUCCUACGAAGGGAAUCAUACAUUUGUCCUGUUGUGUCCGUCCUACUUCAGUUAGCACAGUGUUUGCAAGUUUCAUUCACGUUGCAGCAUGUAACAAUACUUGAUUCCUUUGUGAGGCCGAAUACGAACUUGGUGUGUCUACACCACAUUUUGUUUAUCCAGUCAUUUGUUGGACAUUUGGGUUGUUUCCACUCAUUUGGCUAUUAUUAAUAAUACCUCUAUGCACUUUUUAUUGAAUUUGUUUUAAAUUGUCAUUGGUGUGUGCCUCAGAGUGGAAGUGCUGGGUCAGAUAACUCUGUGCUUAACUUUUUGAGGAUCCGCAGAACUGUCUCCCAGUGUAGCUGCACCAUUUUACAUUCUCACCAUUAAUUGAUGAGGUUUCUGAUUUCUCCACACCCUCAACCCUUGUUCUUAUUUGGCUGUGUGUGUGUGUGUGUGUGUGUGUGGUUUUUAUAUAAGCUCUAUGCCCAGUGUAGGAUUUGAACUCCCAACCCGGGGUCGCAUGCUCAUCCACCCAAGCCAGCCAGGCACCCCUCUGGCUUUUUGAUCAUAGCCAUCCUAAUGGGUGUGACGUGGUAUCUCCUGUGAUUUUGAUUUGCACUUCUCUCAUGACUAACUGUGUCUAGCACUUUUCCAUAUGCUUGUUGGCCAUGUGUAGAUCUUCUCUAGAGAACUGUCUAUACUGAUCUUUUGUCCCCUUUUUAAUUGAGUGUUUAUUUUUUCAUUAUUGAAUUUUAAAAGUUCUUUGUGUAUUCUGGAUACUAGAGCCUUAUCACGUUUUUCCCUUCUGGGGGUCGUGUUUCCACUUUCUUGGUAGUGUUCUUUGACAUAAAAUAAAUUUAUAUGUCGAAAGUAACUUGAUUUAAGGGAAAAAAAAAAACUGGGACUGGUUAUACGGCAAAAAAUGUCCAGGUGUCGUGUGAAUGAUUAAGGUUUGGGGGCAGAGAAGAGUGUUCCGAUCCUGUAGCGUGAAGUGGGUGAGCACUCCUUCCUGUGCAACGUCAGCGGGUUCUACCUGGUAUGUGUGCCGGGGUCAUCUCGUUGGAGUGCUUGGAAGGUUUGGUUUUGUUUUUUAUGUCCAGUAAUAGAUAAUGGAUUUAUUCAGAUGUCUUUUCUGCAUUCUCCACCCCACCCCCCGCCGCUGCCCCCCCAAGCAUCGAGUUUUUCUCCUUUCAUUCUCUCAUGAUUAAUUAUAUCACGGAAUAUCAUGGCCUCCUGUGAUUUCUGAAACACACCGGUCCCAGGCCUGGAGCUCUAUUCCGCCAACACAGAAAUGAAUCAGAAGGUCCACUUCAGCUUCAGGGUGUUGUCAGGCAGGCUUCCGUAUCAGGACCUCAGGAAAGGCAGAGACGCUUUUAAGAGCAGCAGCAAAGAGCAGACCUCUGAGCUGGACAGCUGACUUUCUGUUCCCUGCUUUGCCACUUAGCACGUGACGUUGGCCACAUUUCUAAAAUACUUGAAGCCGGUUUCCUUAACAAAAUGGGGACAAAAACAAAGUCAGAACAUAACUCGUGGUUUGCGUGAGGCUGAGAUGAGGGGUCACACGGCACAGGUGCUGGGAGUGAGGGGCCCUGCUGUUUCCGGUCCCUGUCAGCCUCCCCACUUCGCACAGUUGACUGGACACAGAGUGUUGGGUAACGCCGCCCGGGCUGCCACUUCCUUUUGGAGAUUCCAAGUUCUUUGCGAACUUCCAGUGUCUUCCUGAGUUAUAGGCUAGUCCGUAUUUCUAUUUCAUUGUAAGUCAAUUUGCUUGAAUUCAGUUUUCUAAGAAAAUUGCCUUUUUAAAUACGUAUUAAUGUAGAGCUUUUUUUUUUUUUUUUUGCAUUUUAAUAUCCUUGUCAAUGGUUUUUGGGGGUGGAAGGAAAAAAAAUAGUUUUCACUUUUUAUUCCUAGUUUAUCUUUGACAGACUUUCAAGAAAUCUAUUUUACUGUUUUUUUCAAAGAAGCAGCUUUAGAUAGAAUACCCAGUUCCGCUUUCAUGUUGUAAUUUAUUAAUUUCUGCUUUUACUUCAUUAAUUCUUGUGCUCUCCUUGGAUGUUGUUUGUCCCUCUUUUUCCAGUCUUGCCUUACAUGCUUAGUGCGGAAGGCAGGGGAGGCAGAGCGCGGUCAGGGAGGCUGUGGCAGGAGGCGCUCCUGCUCUAGCCCCACUGUGACCAUGGACAGAGCCCUCCAACGCUGACGCGUGGACCCUCCGUAAGGGAGGCAACUGCUGCCCCCUCGCCGCCCCCGCCGCCAGAGGAUGCAUGGAGGCCAGUUAGUGGCCAGGGCCCAGCGGGAGCAUGGGGGGCGUUCUGCAGGGGGGAACGGCCAACUGCUGUUGCUCCGGUCCACGGUUCGGUUUCUAACGAUCACUCCAACCAACAGCCUCCUCGGUGUCCAGAUACUCAGCUGGUCUCCACAGACACAGGCAGGUGAGAUGAAUGGCCCUGCCUUCCCGUGGUGCCCCCGUUCUCCCGGGGGACGGGUCUCCGAUGGUGACUAGAUAGAUGGUGAGUUAACACAGUGCGGCAACAGCCACCGGGGAUGGAAUGCAGCCUGAGGGUGAAGACAGAGCCCUAACCCAGGGGAGACCUUUGAGCUGUCACUUGACAGGUAGGUGAGGCUGUAAGGAAGAGCAUUCCUGGCUGAGAAAAGGGCGCGAGCAAAGCCUCUGAGCUGUGAAGGAAACUGGCUGGAGCUAGGAGUGCAGGUGGGGCUGGCCGGGCCACGGUGGGGACUCAGGAGGUGCCCCAUGGUGCACCUGAAGGCUCCCCGUCUGUAUUUGGGAAAAGAGUUUAUUGUCCUUAUUUCCUAUUUGCUUUUUGGUUUCAGUUCUGAUGUAUCAUUUGAACAUAGUUAUUUAAAGAGUACGCUUUAAAUUUUCCGAGGUUUUGGAAGGGUUGUGUUUUGUUUUUUUUUUUAACUAUUAUAAUCAAUUUCUAUUUUAAUGAAUGGUUACCUGAGGAAGUGCCCAGUACAAUUUCUGCCUUUUUGGAUCUGUGGCUCCCUUUCUUCACUGCUUAAGUGUAUUUGGUGCGUGGAGUCCGGCCCUGCCGCGUGGAGUGCCGGGUGCUGACCGGGCAGACGGGAGCCCACCCCCUCCCCACCCCCACCUCACUGUCUCCUCCUUUGCGGGUUGAAUGAAGUACCUGUGUGUUGGAAUUUUCAACUGUUGAACCUUGAAACCAUUUUUCCACCUCUCGUCUGUUUCCUGCCCGUGUCGUGCCUUCGUUGUACAUAUAGUUGUGAUCGGGAGCCAUUUUGCUUCUUCCACUUCAGGUUACCUUGUAGACACAGUGACUCGUGUUGAGAUAAUCCACCUGUUCUGGCUGAGGCUCCCUGGGGUGUUCCAGGCUGUGAGCCCGCCACUGUCACCUCGUGGGCUUCUGCGUGGGCUGGUUCCAGCAUUUUGUAAUUCUGAAUUACACGGGCACAGGCGUCUUUGGGCAAAUCCUCUUUUAUACCUCCAGGCUGCUUUUGGUUGUCCCCCUGGCCGGAGGCAAGGGGCAGGAAUUGCUUGCUUCUCUUCGCUCACUGCCCUGGGUGCAGAUGUUUGGAAAGGGCCGGUUAUGCACUCCUGUUUUGCCCACUGCCUUGCCAACACAAUUUUUUCUGUUCUUGACUGUGAGUGUGGAGUGCUUUCUUGAAGCCAUUUUAUUUUAUUUUAUUUUAUUUUUUCCCUUGAAGCCAUUUUAAUUUUCACUGGGGACACGUUUUCCUGUGUAGGUCACUCUCUGAGUUUCCUUAAGCAGACACCUUGAGGGUCUUGUCACUAACAUGUUGAAUUAAUUCUUUGCUCAUCUUACAGACUGUGUUUUGACUACCCCCCCAUUUCUAAGGCCUUUUAAGGUCAGAGCUUUGUUCCUCCGUCAGGUUGGGACUUAGAUGGCUAUGCACGGUUCCUCUUUCCUGCUGCAGUAAGUAAGUGCCUGCCUUUUGUGGUGUGUUUGGGGGCUGAAGCCUGGAGAGAGGCCAGGAGGGGCGAUGGGCAAGCGAGGAGGUGGGGGAGAGGUGAGGGAGAUGGGUGAGGGGGAUGGAAACCUGGCUCUGAGCUCACCCAGUGGUCCCCAGACCUUGGUGUGUGUGUGUGUGUGUGUGUGUGUGUGUGAGAGAGAGAGAGAGAGAGAGAGAGAGAGAGAGAGAGAGAGAGAGAGGGAGAUAAAGAGAGAGACGAGACUGGCUGUGCUUGCAGAGCAUCCGUCAGGACUAGUAGAGAGGACCCGUUGUCAGCCUGGCCUGGUGUGACGCUGAACAGGUCUCGGUCCUCUCUGAGCCUCACCUUCUCCUCUGGACUCUGCUGGAGAAGGGCUACUGGGCUCCUCAGGGCUGGCUGGAGGGGUCCAGGAGUCCUCCCCUCGUGAGAGGCCAGGACAGGACUCCUGGAUGAGGACCGCAGAGCUUGGGGAUGCUCCCACUGGACCCGCCGUGGGCCCACAGGAGGCAGAGCCCAGCCUGGGAGCAGCAGGUGCUUGGGGCCCAGAUGGGGAGGGGGGCCCAGGGCAGGUAAACUGGCCCAGGGUCCAGGGUAGGCUUCCUGUUCCUCCUGUCUCUGGGGCCCUGGUGACUCAGACCAUCCUCUCGGGGAACUCAGACACGGGGCCAGAGGCUGGUGGGGACACUGUGCUUCUGACUUCGUUUUCAAGCAGUGGCAGCUUCGCAGGAAGGACCCCACAGCCGGCACUGGUGGAGAGAGCGAGGACGGAAGGCCAGGCAGGUGGGCUAGACUGUGUGGCCCCACACAGCAGGGGCCCAGCAGAUGCGGAGGACCACUGGCAUUUGAGCUAGGCUGGGGUGCUUGAAAUUUCCUCUAGUUCUUAGAUUUCCUGUUCUGGAUGAAAAACUUGAAAGUUUUGCCUUUAAUUGUAAAAGCCAUCUGCAUAGAGUUAAAAAUUCAAGCCAUAGAAAAAGGUAUAAAAUGAAAGUAAAAUCCUUCUCCCCUCACUCAUCCCAGCCCUACUGCAGAGAGGUGGCCUCUCCCAUUUCUUAGGAUCUUUUUGGAAAUUUCCAUCUACAUACGAAGACAUUGCCCUACAGCGAGCAGGACCAUAACUUGUGGUUCAGUUUUCCGUCGGACUUCGUGAGCUCCUGCAGUUGGGAUGUGCAUCCAGCACAACAGGAAACAUGUGGCCACGCGGCCAAGGGGACACGCGUCCCCCUGGCUGCACCUUUGACAGGGCUGUCAGGGCAGCGAGGGGGAACCUGGGAGGGAGGGGGGCCCGGAGCCGCCGCAGGUGUUUCUUUUACUGGACGCGGCCCAUGGCCGCGUUCAGGUUUUGCUUUUCACCUUUGAGUCUGUGAGAAAACAAGCAGGAAAAAGCAAAAGGCGCUGGUGGUGGCACGCCCGGUGCUGCUGGGCCAGGGUUCGAGUCCCUGUGGCGUCUCUGCUUCCUUCCUGCUCCCCAUUCCGGGCCCUUUCCCUCCGUGGUCCUGAGGAGGGACGUUGGGCUGAAGCACCCAGGGCCUCCCCCAGGAGUGCUCCCCUCCACGGUCUCCUCCAUCACCCCCUUGGAGGACCUGGGGCUGGGCUCUCAAGGGCUCUCCCCCUCCCUUGGGCCGUAGGUAGAUGAACUAGCCCCAUCCGAACCAAUCCUUCGAGAAGAAGAGGAGAGCUUGGGAGCUGUGAACCCCAAGGCCGAGGGUGUGUGUGCUCCCCGCCUGGUCUCCUCCAUCUGAGGCUCCCAGGACCAACUCACCACCGCCCUCCACCUCCAAGGACCAGGAUGGCUCUUCUGGGAAGGCUGAGGGGGUGAGGAGUUCUGGGCUGGCAGGUCAGGGCGUGGGGUGGCCCUGGGGGAGAAGAAGGCAGGGCCAACGCACACACAGGCCCUGGGGCAGGAAAUGGGGCGGGAGGGGCCAGAAUGGGCACCGAGGGAUCUGAGACUGCACUCUCCAGGCUCCUGGGACCUGGAUGGAUCCCAGGAGACACCCCUCCCCCCACCGCCCCGCCUCCUGCCUGGGACCCAACAGGGACAGUGUGCUGUGAUCCUGAGCAAGCUCCACGCAAGCCCCAGCAGCGGCUGCCUCUGCCUCUCUCCCAGCUUUGUCAACCUCCCCAUCCCUUCCCCGCAUCCCAGAAAGAGGUCAGAGGAUCACAAUCCAUUUCACUGGCCACAGUGCUGAUGGCUGCCUUGUCUCCAGCCCAGCCCAUGGUCACGCCAUCAGUGCAGAGCCCGAUUUGGGGCUCGAUCCCCUGAACCUUGAGAUCAUGACCUGAGUCAAGAUCAAGAGUCCGGCGCUCAACCAACUGAGUCAGCCAGGCACCCCGAGAGAACCUCUUUUAAGGGACUUCCGGGAAGCCCGGCUGGCUCAGUCAGCGGAGCACGUGACUCUUGAUCUAAGGGCCAUGAGUUCUAGCCCCAUGUUGGGGGUAGAGUUUAGUUAAUAAAAAAAAAAAAUAAGGGACCUUGGCUUGGGCCCUCCUAAA